AGUAAAAUCAGAGAAACUUUACAUUUUUUCCAGAGGUGAAUAAAUUCAGUUUGAAACAGAAUCUCUAGAUCACAUCAUAGCUGCCAACAUCUGCUAACAUUAAUGAGACACAAGCAGCUGUGGAGUCACUCAGUAUUAGUGGGGUCUGUUCCCCGGAAAUUAAAAUAAAAUCUACUUAAAACUUUGCAUUUCCAGUCAUUUGAAGAACAUUUUACUAACUGCAUAGGAUUAAUAAACCUAAAACCAGUUUAUUAUCAAGGUAGACAUUUAUUUAUUAGACAAGGUAGAACUUUAUUUGAAAAUCAUACUUAGAAAUUUUUAUCUGAACGUUAUGCAGCUGUUGGCCUUUUUUCUUUAAACAAGAAUGUUUAUCCAUCUAUGGAAAAGUAGAAAUUAUGAGUCAGACUUUUACUAUUUCAGUUCACAGUUCAUGAAGUGGGUCUGUCAUAGUUUCAGUACCAAAACACAUUUCUGUUCACACAGAACCAGCCUAACAUUCUGCACUGUUCUUUAGUUUGACAUUAUUUAAGUGACUCCAGAGAUAUUUGGGUAAUUAAUUACAAAACAACACAACAGUCACUAAUUAAACUUCAAAAAAGAGCAAUAAGAGUAAUUAACAAGGCUAAGGACCAGGAUCAGACUAAUACAUUAUUUAUCCAAAUAUUUUGCACAUAUUUUGCAUGUAAAUAUAUAUAUAUAUAUAUAUAUAUAUACAGUAUAUAAUGGUCUUUACUGUUUUCUUUAGAGGCUGGUUCUAGGCCAGAUUUACCACAGGGCCCGUGCAGACAGUGUUUUUAUGGAGACACUUAAAAAAAGAAUUAAACAAAAACAGAUUAAUAUUUCAUCAUUUAAUAAUGUGAACAAAGAGCCACUUGUGUCUCCAGAGAUUCAGGUUGCAGGUCUCUGAUUUAGCAGAUGGAAAGUGUGAUCCUAUCUCCAUACAGCAGUUAAAGUACCAUAAUUCUUAAUUCAUUUAAUUAAUUUUUAUUAAAAAUAAUUUUUAUGUAUUUUUAAUAAUACCUUAAAAAGAAAAUUGUGAAGAAGAAAUAUCUACCACUGAAUAUUUAAAAAAUAUAUUUAUUUAGUAUAAUUUCUUUAGAGCCCCACAGUUUCCAUCCUCUCUGAAAUUGUUCAGCUUAUAAUGCGUCUUUUCACAUUUUUAAAAGCGUUUUUGCUUCUAAGGAUCAGAUUUUUUUCCUUUCUGCUAUUCUGCUGGUUUUACGGGUUUUACUUUGAGUUUGGACUGAAAGUUGUCAAAUCUGGUUACUGCCAAACGGCGCCAUGUUUGUUUUUUUAAUUAGCGCGCAGUGAGGCGCAUGCGCCGUGCUGGAUAGAAAUAUGACGUGAGCGUUUAAAAGGCCCAGUUCGACCAGGCCGCACCGAGACACUAAACCAGUAUUCUGAUAUUCAUCCGCCGUGGAACCCGGGUUUUAAAAUCUCCUUUUCUCCCAAGACGCCGAAAUGGACGCCCAGCCUGAAAAACUACAAACUUCUGCGGAUUCACCUGAAAUCGUCUCCGUGUUGAUUGGGCCUCCUAGUCUGGCGCCUAAACACACCUGCUGAGAAUCAGGUGGAGUGGGCGAACAGGCCGCGGGACCGCCAUCUUUGAAAUCGCUGCGUUUGUUGCAAGCAGCAGAGGACGGACCCGGCCAUGGCGUCUCAGCGGUGGUUUGUCUGGCUGCUGAUGAGGACAAGCUGAGGACCGCCAUCUUUGAAAUCGCUGCGUUUGUUACAAGCAGCAGAGGACGGACCCGGCCAUGGCGUCUCAGCGGUGGUUUGUCUGGCUGCUGAUGAGGACAAGCAGGCCGCGGGGCCGCCAUCUUUGAAAUCGCUGCGUUUGUUACAAGCAGCAGAGGACGGACCCGGCCAUGGCGUCUCAGCGGUGGUUUGUCUGGCUGCUGAUGAGGACAAGCUGAGGACCGCCAUCUUUGAAAUCGCUGCGUUUGUCACAAGCAGCAGAAGGCCACCCGACCACGGCAUCGCAGCGAUGGUUUGUUUGGGUGCUGGCGUCCCUGAAAUAUGAGGAAAAAAUGGCGUCUGGAGCCAGCAGCUGAUCGAUUAUGGAUAAACUACAAUCAAGCUGAGGAUCGCUUCAAUCAAGCUGAGGAUUCCCUACAAGGUGCCUGGCGGAUCCGCCCAACCCAUCAAAGGUUUGUUAAGUCAAAGAACUGUUCCAAUGGCGGGUCCAGAAGACAUCUCAAAG